UCGCCCAUGAAGGGUUCCGUAGCAGCAAGUAACAUAAUAAAAUUGCGGUUUACGAUUUAUGACGUAUUAAAAAAAACUACUUACUAGAUCUCGUUCAAACCAAUUUUCGGUGGAAGUUUGCAUGGUAAUGUACAUCAUAUAUUUUUUUUAGUUUUAUCAUUCUCUUAUUUUAGAAGUUUAGAAGUUACAGGCACAUUUUACCAUUUUGGAAGUGCCUCUCGCGCAAAAUAUUCAGUUUAGAAAAAAAAUAUAUUAGAAACCUCAAUAUCAUUUUUUAUGACCUAUCCAUAGAUACCCCACACGUAUGGGUUUGAUGAAAAAACCAUUUUUGAGUUUCAGUUCUAAGUAUGGGGAACCCCCAAAAUUUAUUAAUAAAACUCAAAAAUUUUUUUUUCAUCAAAGUCAUACGUGUGGGGUAUCUAUGGAUAGGUCUUCAAAAAUGAUAUUGAGGUUUCUAAUAUCAUUUUUUUCUAUACUGAAUAGUUUGCGCGAGAGACACUUCCAAAGUAGUAAAAUGUGUGUCCCCCCCCUGUAACUUCUAAAAUAAGAGAAUAUAAAACUAAAAAAAAUAUAUGAUGUACAUUACCAUGCAAACUUCCACCGAAAAUUGGUUUGAACGAGAUCUACUAAGUAGUUUUUUCUAAUACGUCGUAAA